GUCUGUGAGCGAGAGAGAGAUGCAGCGCGUCUGUGAGGCCCCGCCCCCGCACGCAGAGACUUUGUGGAGGAGAAACUGGGCAGCACGUACGUGAUUGGCAGAUCACUGGACUUUGCGCUCUCCUUUGAAGAGUCGGGUCCAGCUACGCCCAUGUUCUUCAUCCUCUCACCUGGAGUCGAUCCUUUGAAGGACGUGGAGAAACAUGGGAAGAGGCUGGGUUACACAUUUGACAACAAGAACUUCCACAAUGUGUCCCUGGGUCAGGGGUAGGAGGUGGUGGCUGAGCAGGCCCUCCACCUGGCAGCUAGGAGCAGCCACUGGGUCAUAUUACAGUGAUGAAGACAAGUAUUAAAUGGCUUCUGGAUCACAGCCAUCAACAUCUGCCUCAUCCGAGCUACGACGUGCAUCAGAUCAGCAU